AGAGUCCAUUCUCAACCCAGAGAGUGGCCAGUUGCCCGCGGCUGAUAGUGAAGCUUGGAGCGUCUGGGCUUCACAUGCCUCAGCUCAGAGUUCUACUGGCUCCAGUCCAAGAGGAGGGAAUAUUCUUUUGGGCCCUUGAUACAUUGUGAAGUACCUGGCCAAAUUCCAUGUCCAAUGAUCAAAACAGAGUGGAUUCUACAAAUCUCCCCAGGACUGCCUAACAGCCCCAAAUUUCUACACAUUCUAUCAUCUUCUAAGAAAACAAAACAAACCAAACAUAAACAAAAACAAAAAAACCCUGAGGAACAAGGGUUUAAAAUUUGGGCUUUUGAAGAGGACCCUAAAUUUCCAUAUGACAGUGUUCACACUUUAAUACUGAAAUAUCUGUUGGUAAUUAACAAGUAGCAUACCGAGCAUAUUCUAUGUUCAGUAAUUUUCCUAAAUGCUGGUGAUAUGAU
rnacentral:lncRNA from 1 species